rnacentral:lncRNA from 1 species
AUGAAGCAGCUGCCACAGUCAGAGGCCACUUCCGGUGGGCGUGGCCAGGUCGGAAGUCAAGGCCGCCCUCGCUCAGGGGCGGUGACAUUCAGCAUGGGCUGGGAGCCCUCAGAGGAGAAGCCGCCAGGGCAGAGUCCCGGGAAACUGUCCCCGGGGCACCAUCUGGACUGUCCCUUGCCUGCCUGCUCUUGGAGCCCAGUGACUUUUCCAGAGUCUCUGACGGUUCAGCGAGCUGCUCACCGGCCUCCUUUCCUGAGGUUAUCCAGCCGCUCUUCCGGAUGCCUGCAUUCUCUGGACAGUGCCCCCUGCCGGAGUCAUGCAAAGCAAUCGUUUAUGGAAAAAUCAUACGGAGGUUUCUCCAAAAACUCAAACACAGCCUUGUCCUACAAUCCAGCAAUCCCACUCGUGGUAUCUGCAAAGAAACUGAAACAGGGCUGCAUCCUCAUGUUCAUCACAGAAUUUUUUGUGAGAGCCAAGAUGCCAAUGAAGGAUGAAUGGAUACAGAAAUAAAAUACACACAUCCGAAGGGAUAUUAUGCAGCUCUAAAAUGGGGAACCUCUGCCCUAUGUAACAACGUAAGUACAUAGAUCUGGAGAGCAUUAGGCUAAGCGAAAUAAGCCAGACUCAGAAGGGCAAAUACUUACGUACGAUCUCACUUACAUUUAGAAUCUAACACAGUCAGACUCAUGGGAACAGAGAGUAAAAUCAUGGUUUCCAGGGGCUGGGGAGGUGAGAAAGGAGGCGAUGGUUAAAAGGUACAGAAUUUCAUUUAUGCAACAUACAUUGUUCUGGAGAUCUGCUAUACCACACGGUGUCUUUAACUAACCAUACUAUAUUGUAUACCUAAAAUUUUCCAGGAAGGUAAACCUCAUGUUAAGGAUAGAUCUUCUGAUAAGUGUUCACACACACACACACACACACACACACACACACACUCACACACACACUCACACACACACUGAUAAAGGGUACGGGAAGAAACUUCAGGGAGUGACGGAUGUGUUUGUGAUGGUGAUGGUAAUGACAUUUUCAUGGACUGAUACUUAUUCCCAAAGCUCACUGAGCUUUUCGUAUGUUAAUCAUACCUCAAUAAAGUGGUUUUAAGAAAUAAAAAUGAAAUGCUUUUUUGCAAAAAUUCAUGGAAAAAUUUAUUCCAAAG